GGAAUAAGCUGUCCUACCGCCGCGGUAUUUGGCCGGGGAGGAAAGUCCGGGCAGCACAGAGUGCCGUACUUCCUAACGGGAAGGCAAUCGGAUGGAGACGACCGGUUGACAGCAAGUGCCACAGAAAUGAUACCGCCUUGGCAUGUUUUUUAUAUGUGAAGGUAAGGGUGAAAUGGUGGAGUAAGAGCCCACCGCUCCCCGGGCAACCGGUGAGGCAAGGUAAACCUUACGGGCUGAAAGAUCAAAUAGGUGUUAUUAAGUGGGGUUACUCGUCCCCGUUCUUCGGAACAAUGACACGGGUAGAUCGUUAGAGGUUUCGGGUGACCGGAAUCCUGGAUAAAUGGUAGGAGUCUUUUAUUGAGUUUCAAUGAAGGAAACAGAACCCGGCUUACAGGCUUAUCCUUUUU
rnacentral:RNase_P_RNA from 1 species